rnacentral:lncRNA from 1 species
UCCAAGAAAGGGUCGGCCUUGGUGCCUUAGACCCUGUUGAUAAAGUGAGGAUAACUCACCUUGCAAUGUCGGACUGCACCACAAAAUCACGCUCCCGAAACACUGCCCCGAACUCCAACACCUAUAACCAUCAAUGAUCCAAUUCAUAAAUACUCGCUUACCAAUUAUCCUCAAAAGUCAAAACAGUCAACCCUUGGUCAAAGUCAAAGUCAACUAUUAAUGUCAAUGGUCCAUGUUGACGUCAACUCGUCGAGUACCCUCAGCUACUCGUCGAGUUCGUUUCAUAGCUUGCCAACUCGCCGAGUCACCAUGCCAUUCGCCAAGCCCAAGGCAAUCUUCAUCGGACUCGUCGAGUCGACCAUGCCACUCGCUGAGUCCCUUCGGUCCUUCAUCCAUACAGAUACUUUUUAAGCCAUGCUAACGCUCCAUACUACAUAUCCAACUUCCCAAGGAAUGCUUAUCACAUAAAGUUGCAAACUUUACGUGCGUGCAAGGCUCUAAUGACUCAUAACGCCAAAUCCAAUCUUGAAAUUGGGUUGUACACUUAAGGAGGGAUUCAUAAUUUCCAAAGUUGAUAGGUUUAUUGUCUUACAAAUCAAAGAGAGUUCAGAUUUGAAGUUACAACUUCAGAUCUGACCUCAUACCCAAGAAUAGCUUCAUAACAAAGCCAAGAAGCCCUAAACUUCAUCCAAAGAGAUAUAAGAGACGAAUGACGCCAAUAUCAUGAAUUGAUACCUCAAAUGAAGCUAGUUGAGAUGGAUUUUGUAGAUCCACACGAGCCCUUGCUGCUAGUUACUUGACUUUCAAACUCCCUUGAUAAGUUCUACCCUCCAAAGCUUAAAAACAUAUACAAAUAAAGUUCUCACACGAAAUAGGGUUUGCUGGACUCUGUAGAGGCUGCAAAGGGACUAAGAAAGGCUAAUGAUCCCUUAAAUAGGUUUCCAAUCUUCAGAAAUUAGGGUUUCACCCUCCAGCUGCAACUCGUCGAGUAACUCUUCCGACUCGGCAAGUUGGUCAUUUAAACACGUGGCCCAAAACCGCUGCUACUCGACGAGUCAGCCAACCAACUCGUCGAGUAGAUCUUGAAUUCAUGAGAAUUGAUAACCAUAAAUUGGUAUUCGACAAUCGGGGCAUUACAAUUCUCCCCCACUUAAACUAGACUUCAUCCUCGAUGUCUGAUGUGGUGAACAUCCUCGAAUAGUGCUCCCGCACCACACCGCACCCCCCCGCCUCCGGCUCUCACGUCCACUCGGACCCCCCCCCUUUGGUGCUCCCACUGUACCUUUACCAAAGGUACCCCUUGCUCCGCAGAACCUUCACCCUUCUCUCCAGAAACCAAAAGGCCUAUCAACAUAAUUCAGGCGCUCAUCGACUUGAAUGUCCUCCAACGAUACCACCGCCUUCUGAUCCAUGAUGCACUUUCGCAAUUGCGAAACGUGAAAGGUGAUGUGAAUCCCAAUUGAACCUUAUAAAAGGUCUAUCCUGCAUGCCACCUUUCCAACUUGACAAAAUCCUGAUGAUUCAACAUAUCUGAAACCCAACUUUCCUCUUCCUGAAGCGAACCCUUUGAGCUGUCAUGAUAAUGCAUCAUUCAGCUCUCAUAAUAUCAUACAUAAUCAAUCCACUAAUAAAUACGAACACUCAUUCCUGGCUCAAUCAACCUUGGGCUUGAAUACCAAACAUAUCAAUUCCAGUCAAUCAUAGGGACCGGUCAUCCCCUGGAUGGAAUACCCGAGAUUGGGAUACCUCCAUGAACAUAACUUGGGUCUACUCUUAAGCGAAGAUCCAAGGAUCUAUCCUUGCAUCUCAUUCAUAAUCCUCUGAUUUGUCACAACCGAGUACAACUCCCCUGAAUCUCUACAGAACAUCCAUUCAAACGCGCUCCUACCAGAGGCAUAACCAACAUAAUAUCUAUCUCCACAGCCUAUAACCGUCAUACCCUUAUAUGGUCCUCAUCAUAGCUAUGUGUUGCUUCUGAGCCCACAUCAUGAGUCUGGUAUGCCCUCUCCGGCCCUCAGCUCAUGACUGGAAUGCUCCCGAUGACCGAUCAACACUACUAUCUAAACCCAUAUCACCCCUUCUGGUUGGAAUACCAAUUAUACCUAAUCAAUUCCAUUAUCGUGCCGAAAUUCUCAGGGUUUGUUGGCCUACCGCCUCAACCCUACCGCUCCCUUUGAGACUCCGCACUUACGCCUUUCAGUCGGCCCACAUCGGGUAUCUUGGCCUACCACAUAGAGAAGGACCGCCUCAACCCCAUCCAAAUGCCAUAAACGAUCAAUAAAAGAUCUAACUCGGUUCCCAAAACCUUAACGACGGAACAUUCUAAUCCCAAACCUUCCCAAAACUAACGAAUACCCAUUCGGAUUCACUCUCAGUCCCAAACUGGAGUAUUACCCGAUCCAAGAAGAUGAAACCUCGAAGACACUCUGAACUGAUGAGAUCACCAAUAUCCUUUGAACUCCGUCAUAAUAACAACUUCUGAUCAAUCAAACUACACCGGAGUCCUCAGCCUACUCCAACAACAUGUUUAAUACUUUGAAUAGGCCUAUUGAUUGCUAUAGCAUAGCAGCCUACUCAAUACCUGAACAUAGAUCUACAAACAUAUACAAGUUCUUCAGCAUGACUGGACCACCCUACCACGCCUUCAGUCUAUCUGGGCCACUCUCAGAACCUUCAUCAUGUCUGAACCUUCAGCAUGACUGGACCACCCUACCACGCCUUCAGUCUAUCUCCCUGGACCACUCCUCCUGAAGCUCUCUCCCAUGCAUCCUGUUCUCACCCACUUGGGGCUUUGAACUCCUGAUCUACUAUGUGGACUAUAUCCCCAGCUUAACCCUAGGCCUCAUGACGAUCGUCCACCCUCUCAGAAAUCCGUGGUCUGUUCCCUGACCAGUGUGUCUACCACAUACACUAAAUAACCUGCACUCCCGUUCUGAAUGUAUUGUCGAGCCUUGGCAGCUAACAAAACCUUCAAUCUAUUAAUCCAAAAACCCUCAUAGUCGAGCGCACCCUCGACUGGAUACUCGACUAAACUCAAUCCCUGACUAGAAUUCCAACCUAUUUCCCCCAAUUUAUGCUAUCAAGCGCCAAGAAGAUGUGUUCCUUAUGCUGGGGAGUUUUGUCGAACUCCUAAUCAACACAACUCUCAAACCAAGCAGCCAAUAUGGCUGGCAUUCUCCUUGUCAGGUUGUGAAACUUAUCCCUAUUUCAAAACCUCUCCCACUUCCGCAUCUCGGGGUAACAUUCCCCCACUUGUAUUCAACUAAGCCUUCAUAAUACAUGAAAAUUGGAGGAUUUCCAAUCCUUCUCACUUCCUAACGAUUGAUCCAAUGAAAACCAAGUCUUUCCCACUAGUGCUCUAUUACUAGUUUGUCCUAAUUGAUCACACACUUCUAAGAACCAGAUGAACACUUCCUGAAUCCCAGUGAAUCCGAUAGCCACUAAUGCUUGAAUGACCCCACACUCAUGUCCUGAAGACCAAAUGAUAAAUGAUCCAACUAAUACCUUGGAAACGAACCACAUCCCUUGGAUUUUUCGUUCGUCAAUCACGAACAGUUGCUAAGACCACUUAGUCCUGACGAUGCUGAAUAACCAUCCUGUGGAACCCUUUCCGUAGACUUCCCACAUAAUAACCCUUUUUCCAAAGGUGUUCCAAUAAACUUCCUGCUCUCGGGCUCUAGAAAUCAUUCUCUUCAGGGUUCACACCCUAACUUAUUUACUAGCUCAAACAUCCACAGCUAAACUACGGUAACUGAAACAACCUCUACCCUAAACUGGGCUACAACUACUCCCAAGACAUAAUCUACAAUCCCAAAAGUAUAAUAGGCCGCACAUUUUAUCCUUACCGCCUGAUAUAAAAGAUCCAAGGCAAACCAGACCUCACAAAAUACUCAUGCUACAUCAAGCCACCCGCGUUCAUCGGCGCUAAAAUAAUGAUGUCUAUUCCGGAAACCCACUGACCCCAAGCUAGAAUACAACCUGAUACUGGGGUCACAAGCCUGCUCACUCCUUAGAGCUUAGAAAACUAAGAGAGCAUAAUACUUGCCCUACAAAACAACAAUCCAAUCCAUCAAUUAACCAUUCCACUUCCAGCUGCAAAACCCCAGCUAAACAUAAUUAUCACUUCUUUCUGGUGACCUCAAGCAAACCCCCGAGCCUCAAAUCUAGAAACUCACGUGCUAGCCUCUCCUGCUCCACCCAAGGAAAUAUAACGAGUCUAGAUCAUCUUCCUGGUCCUAAAUAACUGCAGCCCUCUGCGCAUCAGAAUACGUCUCAGAACUGGGAAGCUCAACCAGCUCCUCCCCUUGCCAUCGUUACAUUAGUUAAAGCUACAGUGGCAACCGUCUCAGCAAUGGAUGUCUAGUGCUCGAUUAAAUACUCAACCAUGACGGUCUUAAUAGACCCUAACAUCUCCAGUAACUUUCCCUAGACAAACUCGAUCACGUCCUUUUGGAUGAUCUCACUGACACGGCCUUCCGACAAUGCUGGCCUAUCCUGGUUGCCAACACCCGAUCCUAACCUGGGUCCGAUAUCAAGACGUCUUGUAACCACCAUUCUGGCAAGACACCAGAAUAAUCUCCGAUAUCCAUAUAACAAUAGGGGACCAACUCCUAACCCAACCCUAGGGGUUGUGACUUAAUUGCUACGCAUAUGGGUCCUGUGCUUUCAAUAGCACGAGCUCAUAAUACCUUCCACACCUAUCCAUAUUUGUCUCAAGUAUCACCACAACACCCUUCUAAUAUACAUAGCAAGCGCUCAAACCUCACCCCUAGAGGAAUGAUAAGUAUCCAAUAACUAGCCUCCCGACCUCUCACAACCCACCCAUCCAUCAACUACCACACGACCCUGUAUUGGUGCGAGUUAACUAUUGCAUGAAUACAAUCACAUACCGCAUGGCUUAAGCAAUCUUAGACAUAAAGAUUUAAUCCCACAACGGUUGGACGUAGAUAAGAGAUGCGUAGCAGGACCAAAUCCCUUACCUUAAGACCAUUUAACCCAUGUAGCAUGUGACUUGGAGUAUUCACCCAAUAGUUAAUUCACACGCGAAAGAGUCAUACAACAAUCAAUGAGGUACUCUACAUAGGAUAAGGCAUCAAAUUUCAGGCAAUUCUAUCAUAUGGUUCCUAAGGAUCCCUAUCUUAUCACUAGCAUGUUGUUCUAACAUAUCACAUAAUCAAAAUCUGCAUGGUAUUUGGGGGUCAAUUUACUGGCUUCGGCUGAUCGUAUGUAACGUCUGUGUUUUUGGGCUAAAAGCAUUAAUAAUGUUGUAAUAGUCUAGGUCAACCUUUGUAACUUAUUUUGAAGUAAUAAAGAGGAAUUAUGUGAAUAUCAUGUGAAUUAUAUGCUUAUUUGCUUAAUUAUUAUGAUUUAAUUAAUUAAUAAUGAAAAUAAGCAUUGAAAAUAAGUAUUAGAAAAAGCCGAUAUCUUUUAAGAAAGUUGUAGUGGCCGAAACAAGGAUUCUGGAGAUAUAAAGAACGCCAAAAUCCGAGUUAUAACGAAGAAGUUAUGACCUGUCGAAGUUUCGCCACAAAACCGGCACGGCACCGAUAAGCGUAAAAAGUGGAUUUACAAUAAAGUGUUUUUUAGCCUUAACAAUCUAAACAAAAGUCAUAGUAUUCGUUAAGCCGAGAAUUUUGAUAAAAAGAACGUCCAAAUCUUACUUCAUAUGAGGAAGUUAUGAUUUUUCUAAGUUUUAGCUUAGUAGUAGACAGCUAAAUACUUGAAUUUAAGAUUGAGCGAUAUUUAGCCGAUACAACCUAAACGAGAAUCGAAGGUCUCGUCAAUAGUAGUACAACGGUAAAAAGACUAACAAAAACGGACAUCGGAUGAAGAAGUUAUGAUUUUUUAACGGAUUUUCCUGUCCCGGUCUGUUAAAAAUAUAAUAUUAAAAUUAAAGUCAAAAUUAGCCGACGAAGUCUAAACGAAAGUUGUAGAAUAUAUUCACGCCUACACGUGCAUAUAAAGAAUGUCAAAAAAUGGAGCUCGUAUGCGAAAGUUAUGAAUUUUAGAAGCUUUUGGUGCAAUUUUCGAAAAAUUCGCAUGGAUGAGAAGCAGCCACGUCACCCUCGCCUCGCGUACCGGAGCUGCUGCGUCACCGAGUCGUGGCCAAAUCCGAGACCAACGCAUGCCUUCUUCGUGUCAGCUUCUGAUAGGCCCGAAGCCGAGGUCCAAUAGAAGAGUUAAGCGCCUCGCAUCGGUGGUCCUCUCGAGCCUCGUUGGCCUUCGCUGCAACCGACUCGUGUUCGCUUCUCAACCUCUCACGUAGCUCGCCUCCGUGUCUCGCCCUUGCUGCUGCCACGCACUUCGCCCCCUCGCUGCCACGUCUUCCCUUCGUGUCCGAGCCUCACAGCCACUACGAGGAGCCUUCUCAACCGAUCAGCCCUCGGUCUCGCACCCUAUAAAUAAGGGGGUUGCGAGAUCUCCCGGGUACUAUUGGAAAAUUGACAUUUUUCACCCCUUGUGACAUCCCCAAAAUCACGGCCAGAAAAGACCGGUUUUGUUUAUACUUUAUUUCAAAAUCAAAGUAAUCUUUUAAUAAAAGAGUUGCUGAAUUUGUCCCAAAACAAUAUUAUGAUAAAGAUUUAUCAAAAGCAUUUCCUUAGAAAUGUAUUUCAUUAAAAAGACUCGGGAUGUCAUGUUCGAUACAUUACAUAAGUAUAAACAAUACAACAUAGGCCUUACUACAUUAUUUCAUAUCUGCAGGCCUAUAUCCGUAAUCCCUCGUCCAAAACAUCACAUCUAUGCUCAUGCGCCACUACCUGUAAUACAAGAAACUGAGUGGGUCAGACUUGGGAGCCUGGUGAGCACAUAGGGUUUUCAACCCACAAUAAAUAAGUUUAUUAACUUUAUCAAACCAAAUAAACCCGAUUACCCAUUCCCGUUAUCCUCACUUUACGUCCCUAAGACAUCUAACACAAGGGACCUAGUCUAAGGACGAUCAUCGGGAUGGACACUACUGCUACGGGGAUUCCUCAGCAAUAAAUGUCCUUAAGGUAACCAUGUGGGGGAUGGAGUACAUCUGGUGAGCAGACAGUUCAAUUAAACACAUAGUUCAAAUAAACACCUACAGGUUACGAGCCUACUAGCGUUCCACUGGACUGUCUAGAAUAGUCCGUGGUCAUCAUCUAUACUCCGCUAGAUGACUGGAUCAUGAAUAACAUCUAUAACGAGGCCUCUCAUUAUUUUAUUGUGUCACACAACAACUAUUACAUCUACCCAUGUUUUACCCAACACAUUUUGUAGAUAUAAAAUACAUAUACAGUUUAAAGGAUUGAAAACAUCUAUAAAACGUUCAUCCAGCAUAGAUAACAAGUAUUUAGAUAAUAUGCACACAUAGCACGUAAUUUAUAUAAAAUACUUCAUAUCUAUGUGUAAGCUGAAAGUAACUAUGCACUCACCUGAAAAGGUGGUGAUUCCGAACUCAUACAGCGCUUCGCUUCCUAAAAAGAAUUUCCUUCGACGAAACCUAGUAUUAUUACCACUAGAGUUUAGUCUAUUAUUCGCCGAUACUAAUUAAUAGUCUAGCUAUUAUUACUAUUAUAUAAGCGUUAAAAAAAUACUUAUAUAACUCAUAAUAAUAGCCCAAGUAUUUAUUAUAAGUUCCUAAUAACGUUACUAUAAUUAAAUAAAAGCUAUAUUAAAAAUAGCGUAGGCGUAGCUCACUUACAGCGGGUUUUAUAGAAAACUAGGCUUUGCUUGGAGCAGCUUUUCCGAGCCGAAAAGCUCUUCUUCUCAGCGCUGUCGAGCACUCCGGGGCUUCCGCCUCAUGCUAGGGAGGUUCCCUAGGCUUUUCGGGGGAUUUCGGGGCUAGAGAGAGAGAGAGAGAGAGAGAGAGAGAGAGAGUAAAGAGAAGAAAGAAUGAGAAAGGUGUGAAGAAAAUGAAGGUGGGAGAGGUGGUAUUUAUAGGGUGAAAAUUGGCUGAACUUGGUGCCACAUGUCACCAUCUAGUGGCAAGACUUGGGGAGAAAGCAAUGGCUAAGAUUGUGCCACAUCACCCAUUUUCGCACAACACACUUCCAACUUCUAAAAUCCUUAACAUUCACAUACGAUCUCCGUUUUUGACGUUCUUUACAUCCACGCGUAGGUAAUAAUAAGAUCUACAACUUUCAUUCUGACUCCGUCGGUUAAUUCGCGACCGAUCUUAAAUUUAACAGUACAAGGAGAUUAUACUGUUAAACGUUCGCGUAAAAUUCAUAACUUCUACAUACGGACUCUAUUUUCAUCUGUCUUUUUACCAUUGAUUUCCUAUUAAUGAGAUCUUCAACUCUCAUUUAGGUCGCUUAAGCCAAAACCACUCGAACUAAAAUUCGAGUUUCGGGCUGUGCACUGCUAAGCCGAAUCUUAGAAAAAUUAUAACUUCUUCAUACGAAGUCAGAUUUGGGCGUUCUUUUUAUGGAUAUUCUCGGUUUAACAUAUUAUACGACUUUCGUUUAGAUCACUAAGGCUAGAAAUUCUUCCAUCAUAAGUUCACUAUUUACAUCUCCCGGUGCCGUGCCGGUUUCGCCGUAAAACUUCGGCGGGCCAUAACUUCUUCGUUAUAACUCAGAUUUCGGCGUUGUUUAUAUCCCUGGAAUCCUUGUUUCGACCACUACGACUUUAUGUAGAGAUAUCGGACUUAUUUCACACUUUAUUUUUUGACGCUUAUUUUUAUUCUUUAUUAAAUAUAUAUUUAUAAUAUAGUAACAAGCACACAAAUACACAUAAUUCACAUAGAAUUAAAAUAUUUCAUCUUUAUUACAUCAAAAAGAGUUACAAUAGUUGACCUAGACUGUUACAUCGUCUAAAAAUGCUUAGCCUCGAAACCCGGGCGUUACACCCCUAAACUUAUAUUUUGACUAUUUUGACUUCCCCCCCGAAGCCCCGGUAUCAUUUUCAAAGCCCGGAAUACGUCUCGAAGUGCCCGAAUACCCAGAAGAUUUUAUCUUUUCUGUUUUGAAGCUCCAACCCUCGCAGAGCCCGAUUUCUCAAUAAAACUCCCAGUUUUAUCAGAAACGAUCAUUUUAAGAAACGAAUUGCUGCCCGAUUAUCAUCAAAUCAAGUGAGUGUAUAGUCACUUUCAUCUUACACAUAGAUAUGAAGUAUUUUCUAUAAAAUAUGUGUUAUGUGUAAUUAUAUUGAUUGUUUAUUUGAGAUGACUGUUGAAUAAAUGUUUUAUAAAAGUUAUAAACUGUAUAUGUAUUUUUAUCUACAAAUAUGUUGGCUAAAACAUGGGUAGACGAAAUAGUUGAUAUGUGUUAAAAUGAUGAGAGGCCUCGCUGUUGUUGUUGUUCCAUUCAUCUAGCGAAGUAUGGAUGACGACGACGGACUCUUCUAGACAGUCUAGUGGAACGCUAGCAGGCUCGCAACCUGUAGGUGUUUGUGGGCUUGAUGUUCACUGGUGUACUCNACAUCCUUUACCUAAUUACCUUCAAUUUCUCAGCAGUCUCGUGGACUAUCUUGGGGCCCAUAAACUGCUUCUCUCCGGCUUCAAGCCAACAAGACGGCGUACGAUACUUCUGUCCAUACAAGGCUUGAUAAGGUGCCUACUUGAUGCUCGAGUGGAAACUGUUGUUGUACGAAAAUUCUACCAAAGGUAAGUGCUCGUCCCAGUUCCCUUNAAAUAGGGUUAUUGUUGGUUUGACAAAAUUAAUAAAUUUAUUGUUGAUCGAUGAAAUUAAUAAAUUUAUUAUUAUUUGUGGGUUGAAAACCCUAUAUGCUCACCAGGCUCCCAAGCCUGACCCACUCAGCUUUCUGUUUUACAGGUAGUGGACUCAGAGCNUUUUUGGAUUAUAGGCUAGUAGUUGUAAAUAACUGUUGUAAGGCUUAUAAUGUACUGUUUAUGCUUUUGAUCUGUAUCAAAUAUGACAUCCCAAGUUUUUUUAAUGAAAUACAUUUCUACGGAAAUGCUUUGAUAAAUCUUCAUCAUAUUUUUAUUUUAGGAACAAAUUCCUCAACACUUUUAUGUAAAAUAUUACUCUGAUUUUCAAACAAGCAUAAACAAAAUCGGUAUUUUCUGGCCGUGAAAUUGGGGAUGUCACAUUGUACACUUCACAUCGUCUUUUACUUAUUUUGAAAACCAUUUAAAAAAAUCAUUUCGAAAAUAUUUUUCCUUAGUUUGAGACUGGAUUCACACGAGUGUUCCUCCAAUUCACUCAAACCAAGGCUCUGAUACCAACUUAUAAAACCCACAAAAUUUGAGCCAAUUUAAAACUUUUUAAAUCAUUUGAAACGAUUCAAUUAUUACAAUUUGUUUUCAAAAUAGUUUAUACAUUAGAGUUCCCAGAAAUCAUAAUCAUCAAUCGAGGAAGUGUACGGUCACGCCUUCGCCUACCCGCGACCAUCCGCUGAACCUGAAACAAUAAACUGAAACUAUAAGCCCGAAAGCUUAGUGAGUUACCCUCCAAAAUACCAACCUCAUAUAACCAUAAUCAUAUCAUAUCAACAAAUACAUAACAACCAUGCAUCUCGAGUCUAUAGUGUGACUAGUCCGCCCACACUAGACCUUCAGUCCACUUGGUCCACUCCUUGAGUCUACAUUUUGACUGGACCGCUCGCACUGGGCCUUUAGUCUAUCUAGCCCACUCUUUGAGCCUCGGCAUGUCUGCACCGCCCUCUCGGGGACUUCCGCCUAUCUGGACCGCUCGCUGGGCCUUCGGCCUGACCGUGUGCCCUCCCGCGUCUGCAGUCUAUACGGUCCACCCUAGGUAUGUUGGCCUAUAGCACGAAGCAGGACCCGCCUCAACCUAACCCCCAAUCAAAAACCAUGUGCACAUAUAACAGAUAAUCACAUAACAGUCUAUAGCCAAACAAACCGAUCAAACAGAUCAUAUAUGUGACAUCCCCAAUUUCACGGCCAGAAAAGACAGAUUUGUUUAUGCUUUGUUUUAUAAAUCAGAGUAAUCGUUUAAAGAAAACGGUUGCAGAAUUUGUUCCCAAAACAAGAUAUGAUAAAAACUUAUCAAAACAUUUCUCAAAGAGAAUGUAUUUUCAUUAAAUAAUAAAACCUCGGGAUGUCAUGUUCCGAUACAGACACAUAAGCAUAAACAGAACAUACAUUCAUUUACUCUAGUGAUUUACAUCUCCUUUAAUCUCUCAAUGCAAAGCAGCUUCGUAUCGAUACCUGUGAUACAAUUAAACUGAGUGGGUCAGGCUUGGGAGCCUGGUGAGCAUAUAGGGUUUUCAUCCCACAAUGUUAUAUCAUAUAAAUAUAUAUAGAACAUCCAAAAUUAUAUAAUUUCACCAUAUAAAAGCAACUCUUACCCCACCCCAUCGAUCCUCACAACGCCACGAUCUAAACUCUCGUAUCUAAACUUUUCCUCUUUAUCUGAUCCCUACUCAUGGAUCUAAACUAAUCUAUCCACCCGAUCCAUACUCUUGGACCUAAAACUAACCUCUUGGUCUAAUCCAUACUCCCGGAUCUAAACUAAUCUCUUGGGCUGAUCCAUACUCCCGGAUCUAAAAGUGUGCCCAAUCCAUACUCCUGGACUAGGGACAAUUAACUAUUUCUUAAUCCAUACUCCCGGAUUAAUAACAAGUUUACCUAUUGGUUUGAUCUAUACUCUCGGAGCUAAAACUAUGCCCAAUCCAUACUCCCGGACUAGGGACAAUUUACUAUACCUAAAUCCUGUUCUGAUCAAUACUCCCGGAUCUAAACUGUGCCCAAUCCAUACUCCCAGACUAGGGAUAAUUUACUAUGUCUUAAUCCAUACUCCCGGAUUAAUAACAAGUUUAUGUCUUUUCCUAUUCCAUAUUCUCGGAUCUAAAUCCAAUCUCUUGAUCUAAUCCAUACUCACGGAUCUAAAACUAACCUCUUGAUCUAAUCUAUACUCACGGAUCUCAUCUACCCAUGUCCUACCCAACGUAUUCAUAGAUACAAAAUAUAUAUAUUGUUUAACUCAUUAAAGCCUAUAUAGUUCAUCCAUUCCAUACACAUCUCAAAUAAACAAACAAUAUAUAAACACAUAACACAUAUUUCAUAACAAAUACUUAAUAUUUAUGUGUUAGAAGAAAGUGAGAACACACUCACACAUAUAAAUAUCUUUAUAUUAUACAAAUAGCAUGUAUUUCAUAGCAAAUACUUAAUAUUUAUGUGUUAGAAGAAAGUUACCACACACUCACUUGAUCAGAAGAUGAUCGGACAGCACUACGGCUUGUAGAAAUAGUAUUCUUCGGUGAAACUGGGAUCACUUCACACACCGGGUUUCUCGCGGGCAAAGCUUCGGCUCGGAAACUCUUUUCUUCUCGGGAUCUUCGGGCUUCGGGACUUGCUUCUGGUCUCGGGGUCGAUACUGGGUGUAUUGGGAGUGGGAGUGAAGGGAUGGAGCAAUCAUAGUCGACUGGCCCUUCAAAUCUAUUUAUAGGGCAAAUUUGGCCCUUGCCACGUCGUGGCACCCUUUUUCAACAUCGUGGGCUUGGUCUUCAUUGCAUGCGUCAUCACAAGUUGCAUCUGGGGGACUCCCAGAGGUGUCAGGAGACUUGCCACGUGUGGCACUGCUUUCCACGUCGUGGUCUCUAACAGUUUUCGGGUUUCGCGCCCCGAACUUCAGAAAUUCAUAACUUUUGCAUACGAACUCCGUUUUCGAUGUUCUUUAUAUCGACGUGAAUGUGAGAUUAUACUCUACAACUCUCGUUUAGACUCCAUUGGCUGAUUUUGAAUUUAUUUUUAAUGUAUUAUAAUUAUAUUACUUAUAUAAUAUCUUUAGUAGGUCGGGAAAGGAAAACUCCGUUCGAAAUUCAUAACUCCUUCAUCUAAAAUUCGUUUUCGUCUGUCCUUUUAUCGUUGGACUACUAUCAAAGAAAUAUUCGACUCUCGUUUAGAUCACUAAGGAUAGAUAUCUAUCUACCUUAAAUUCACUAUUUACGUCGCACUGGGUCGCGCUGGGUCAUGCCGGUUCUGUCGCGAAACUUCAACAGGUCAUAACUUCUUCGUUAUAACUCGGAUUUUGGCGUUCUUUAUAUGCACGGAAACCUUGUGACAUAUACUACAACUUGGUUAAGAUUAACCCUUCUAAAUAAUCUUCCAUCAAAAAGUCAUUUUUGAUGCUUAUUGUCUCUAAAUUGACUAGCCCGGAUCUACGGGCGUUACAAUUAUCUCCCCCUUAGGAUGAUUACGUCACGGAAUCAUCAAAGAAAUAGGAAUUGCAUAAUAAUUCCACACGUUAUCUCUUCAUCCUAGGUAAUAACCGUAACUUCUAUGUUUCCUCGAUAGAAUAUUUAACUCUAUGGUUUUCUUGACCGCGGACGAUGCCCAAUCUUGCAUCUGCAUAUCGUACUAUGUUGUACUUUCAAUCAUAACUUCCAAGUUGCAAAAUAAGUCCUUAUUGUGGAAUCCUUCUUCUUCUCAGGAUAAAUACUUUCCUUUAUCUAUUGUAACAGACCGAUGGGUCGUGUUCUAAUGACCUCUCAUCGUAUGAUGCAACGUUUAGACUCAAGUCUCUUAGAGUCAAAUUCUAGAAUGGAAUAUACCUUCUUUCAUAUUCUAACGUGAUAUAAUCACAUUUUUACAUGUAGCAUUUCUAGCUACAAGCUUCCUUACCAACAAGUGUGAUGCUAUCGAUUGCAUUGAUUUCAAUCUUUUGACUUAGGUCAGAUGUUACAUCGAACUUGGUUCCAUGAACCACGUAACAAACUCCUCGUAGUCGGACUCAAUUUGAUAUGACCACUAGGGUCGGAAUAACAACCAUCUUACUAGUCACUACCGAAAUAAGGGUAAUGACACACUUGAACAAAACGGAAUCAGUUACUAGCUUCUUGGUAACCUUGUGACUUUCGCUGAUCCAACUGCGAGUCUUGUGCUUCCGGUAGUAUAUGCAUCUACUACCUUUCACACCUACUCACACUCGUCCCAAGUAUUCUCCUGCAGUCGACCAAGUCUGUAGCACCUGGUUCCUGGUACGUAAAUCUUAUUUGAGUAUUUUCCAUUUUAAGCCUUGGACUCAACGAGUCAUAGGUCCGACUCGCCGAGUAGGGACGGGAACCGAGACACGUUUAAGUUGGCGACUCGGCGAGUCCAUAUCCUGGACUCGGCGAGUGACCGCUGUUGGAUGAAACCCUAAGUUUCAGGGGUUUGCACCCAAUUUAAUCCCUCUUUCCGCCCCAAGCCAACCCCCAUUCAACCCCCAGAAGCUCUCCAUACGUUCUAGCUCUUGUUCUUGUGAGUUUGAGGCAUCUUUGUGUGUAUUCUUGAAGAUUUUGAGAAGGAAGUGGAGUAGAUCAAGAGGAAGGGAAGGAAGCCAAGCAUCUUAGUAUUCUCUCAGUGAUUUCCUUGAGGUAAAACUCGUUUUCCCCUGUCUCUAUGCUUAUAACUCCAUUAAAGUCUUCCUUGAGCCCUUCCCCAAGCUUGUAUUUGCAUCAUAUUUUGAAAUAAGUUGAUUGGCCUCUAGAUCCAAGCAUGGUUGAGCUCUAGGAGCUCAGAUCUACUACCUUUAUGGACCCAUAUUGCAUGAAAACCUUAGAUCUACUCUUUUGGUGCAUUUUGAACCCUAAAACCCCCAUAGAUGGAUAUUUACACGUAAAGUUGGAAACUUUACGUGUUAUUAACUAGAAAAAUAGCUUUUUACGACGCGCAAUCUACGACACUCAGUGAUUUAUGUUACGCAGAAGGGAGUGACCUUAAAAUGGUGUCGUCUCUUCAAAAAAUUUAAGCAUUUAGGUCACACAUUAUUGCGUGCCCUUAGAUUAUUGUCUUAAUGAAAAAAAUCAAAAACACGGAGGGCACAUGUGUGUCAUCUAAGGAUGUCGCUUUAUAAAUUUUAGUGGAAGCGUGCGUUCCAUCCUUUUUAAUAGCAGGGGGAAAUGAAAUCCUAAAAAAUUAAAAACCUUGCAUUUCAUCCAUCUUUUAGGGAUUCCGUGUAAACCCUGGACCUCAUUUGAAGGUUUCGUUCUUAGUCAAGUUGUUUCUGUUCGGGAAGGAAUAACGAAUUCAUCCUCUCCACCAGCCGACAAGCUCCACUCUUUGCUUCACCUUUUCUCUGUAAACUCUAGACGUCAUUAUGCGGCUGCAACUCUUCCUCCCUUUCGUAUUUUUGGAGCUUGGCAGGCAUACAUUGGUCAACGAUGUCAACUAUCCUCUUUUAUCCACCAUUUUCUCCCUCUGAGACAUUAAAGACACGCCAUCCCAAAAUUGGAAGAACUAGGGCUUUUGUGCUCUGGAUCUCACAGGAAACAAGUUUGCCUCGUCCCCACCCUCACCCAUCCAAAUUCCUUCUUCUUCAAAUGAUUAUAUGUUCUUACCUCUCAACCGUACCUGAAUCAAUAUAUAUGUCUCUCUUGUGUCUAUUCUCUCAAUAUCUCUCGCGCUUUCCUAUUUAUAGCUAGAGUUUGAGAGUGAAAAGAAAAAAGAAGAAAGAAAAGAUGUGCCUAUUAUAUUCCUCUUUCUCCCUCUUUUCUUCCUCUGGUUCGAUCAAAGCCCUUCUUCUCCCUUCUUCUUCUUCUUAUUAUUUUUUUUGAUUUCCAGGUGAGGUUGCGUUUGAAGGUUGUCAAGGGGUUAUGAGGAGAAGGGAGAAGAAGGGUUGUGAUCUCUUCUUAUGAAAGUGGCGAUGAAUCUACCACGAGGCGACACAAAAGCAACUAGACUCAUCCACAUCGGCGAAGAAGGGAAAAGAGGAGUUCUAAAAGAGAGAAAGAGAAAAGGAGAGAGAGGCGGAAGAUAAAGAAAAAAGAUUAAGUGAUAAAGAUAGAAGGAAAAUGAGCAGGCGCCGGAGAUCAAAUUGAGAGGCAAAAGGAGGGGUUCAGAUUCAGAAGACUUCAUCGUUUUAAUUUCAUCUUCAUUGAGUACAAGUCGGCGUUGAUUGGGUCAUACAAACUGACGUGGCAACUCAUUCCUUAAUAUCAAUGCGCCAUCACACCCCUAAAUCUCGAUUUCACAGACACCUAUCUUUGAUUUUUUUGUCUAUUCCUUUUUUCCUCCUUUUUGAAUCCCUUUCUAUUGCGUUACAACAGAAACACAUUUUCAAUUCCGAAGAAACCCCUAAAUAUGACCUAGUCGGCAUGUUUAAGACGAUGAUUCUAAUGAUACCAUCUACUGAGGAAGAAGAAAGGAAAAAUGAUGAGGCAUCGUAACAUCAUCAUUGACCACCAUCCACAUAUUCUCCCUAAGUCGAAACCCUAAAUAUUGUGGUGGUAGGUUUGACAGUGGCAAAGAUGGAGACAUCAAAGUGCUUGUUAAUGGGUUUAACGAUAAAUCUAGUACGCCCAUGAGAGGUUCCCCAUACCACUAUUUCCUUCGGUUUUCUAUCUUUCUUAUAUAUAAAUUUCUUUUUGAAAUUGCAGGUUUUGUUUGUUAUAUGUUGAAAUCGCCCCCACUUUUGAUGUUUUCUCUUUUGUAAAUAUGGCCGAAGGGAAUGGGUCUCAAAUUCUUAUGAAAGCUCGAUUUCCAUGGGAUUUAUGGAGUAUAAACUCUCAUACAAGUUCUCGUAUCCCGCACACCAAAAGAAAUGAGUAGACAUAUGCUUUUUGUUUCUCUACCCCAUUCUAUAAAGUUUUCUAUAUUUUAUUUAAAUUUACUAUCCACCAAGAAUUCCAAAUGUGAUUUUUUAGGGAGGGGGUUUGAACGUGUGAUGAUAUUAGGGAUUACAAAGAACAUGAUAUAAGGGAUAUGGUAGUUGCUCAAUGUCUUGGAUAUCUAUGAUUUUAUACCUCGCUCACAGGUAUCCAUCUUAAAACUCAUUAAAUUUAUAACUUUGUUUGGACAAUGUUCUUUUCUAUGAUACAGUUGGACUCAUAUUCCAGGUUCAUCAUAAUAAUUGCCUUUAUUAACUAUUAUAUCUCAUCCAAGUUUUCUUGACAAGAACUAAGUUAUAUAUAGGUUAAGUUGAGUCUGGAGAGUUUGUUCCAUGAGAGUCCAUUUAUUUCUCAAUUUUUUGGGCACCACUACAUUUGGUGAUUAAAGUGAUACAAUAUGUUUUACCUUUCCUGUAUUUUCUAUGAGAUCGAAAUAGCUGAUGCGCAUAUAUAAGGAAGUCGUUGUAAUGUUUUUAUGCUCAUUAUUGCUUUAAAUUAAGAAACACACUUAUCAUGAUAUCUUAUGUUGUUGACCAGUGUGGAGUUAUUAAUUCUAAGGACAAGUGUGGGACUCCGGUUAAUGAAGGUCCACGAUUCUUUUUUGNCAUCGAGUGUGUACCUUUAGAAAUAGUGAAUAUGUGAAAGGAGGCUUAGGUCAGUUAGAGCAAUGGUGAACUCAGAUCACAACAGAGGUAAAUGUUGAAGUUUUUUUUCUUAUUAUAAUGUCUUAUGAUAAGUUUUUUCUUAAUUAUAGGUUUCAUGAGUGUAGUACACUGAUAAAAUGUUAGGGUUAUUUUUAUUGUUAAUGUAGCAGUGUGAUAGUAUGAUUAUGUAGUUCCAGGUAUAGAGAUGAAUACAGGGGCUACAGGAGGAGAAGUCACAGCAGAAGCAAGGACAUAUAUUAUGGAAGGGACAAAGACAGUAGGAGUAGGAGCCCUGAUUAUCAUAAAAGACAAAGAAGUAAAUGCCCUUAUCAUUGAUAUCUUCAAAAACAAGUAUUUGUCUAUUAUGUAUUUACAAUAAGUUAUGUUGCAUAUAAAGAAACAAAUAAAGGUAACUAAAGGGAGUUUAUAGUAAAUUAACAAAUUGAUCAUUGAUCUAAAAUAUUUUAAUUUUGCUAUACAGGUGAGAAACCUACUUUUAACCAAAUGCCUCGUUUGUGGUCCCCUCUUCUGACUUUCUGCUUCCUAAACACGGUUGCAAUCGCAUACACAGCCACAACUGCACUACCCUUUGGUACAAUUGUUCUGAUUGUUUUGAUAUAGAGUUUGGUGACAUCACCUUUACUGGUUCUCCGAGGUAUUGCUGGAAAAAAACAGCAAAGCUGAAUUCCAAGCUCCUGUUCGCACCACAAAUGAAAUGAGCUGAUUCCAGAAGCCCUGUGCAGCGUUUUGAUUCCGAUGUAAUGACCAAAACUGAAUUCAUAGUUUGGUGAAAGGGAUCCAUUCAUUAUAUUCAAACUUUUACCUCUUGCUAAAAGUGCAAAAUUGUCAUACUUGAGGAAACAGACUUAGUAAAGAGUCAAAACGAGACUAAAUUAUGAUUUUACCCCUGUUAAAAAAACAAAUUUCUUGAUAUUCAUCAAUCUCAACGUGGAAGCAGUUGAGAGGUAAAAUGAAUAAGAGCAAAGAAGUAAAAUGUUAGUGUGUUAAUGAGUUUUAGUUAACCCAUGAUGAGAACGAAAAAAAUAGUUUUUUUUUUAUUUGUUACACAAAAUUUAUGUUUUUUUUGGGAUACUUUGGAGGAUUAGGACGAGAAGGGCAUUUGUGCAAGGGUAAAAUUCAGGCACACUGCAGGACCAAAAAGCAAUGCCAGAAUCCGUGAGGAGGAGGUGACAUUAUACUUGUUUUUUUUAUACUUUUUAAGGUUAUUCCUUGUAGAAAAUACUAUCAUAAUGACCAUUAUGCCCUUUUAAACCGUGACAGAAGGCCAAAAGGCCUGAUGGGCAGGAACCUCACAAGCAGAACUAUUUAUAUUGACUCGUACACUUAAAAAUGGAAAACCUGUGAAUGAAGCCACAGCUACUGUAAUUGUAUGAGUUCAUUUAUUUAUUUAUCUAUUGUGUUGAAAAUUAAUUAUUAUAAUUUUGGGUUAACACCAAACUUGGCCAACUAACUAUUUUAGAUGUCUCUAAAACACCAAUUUACACAUUUUCUACAGCAAGAGGUAAAUAAACAUGAAAUUUUGUCUCAAAUUGGUCCCUGUAAAUUUCUCUUUUAUAAUCUUGACCCAAGUUUUAUUAUGAAUUAUCGGGAUAAUGACUAUCAUAUUUGCUGUCCUUGGGCGAACUUUUUACUAUAUAGAAGAAAUCCUUCCCUUUAGGUUCCUUUUCUCCUUAAUUGAUGGUAAUUAAAUCCAUUUUAUUCGUUCAUCCUAAUAAUAUAUUAUCUUGAAUGCCAGAUUCGGUGACAUGGACCUUCAUCUUGAUGAUAGUGUUACAACAUUGCUUCAAUGUUACUUUAAACUGUCGGCUAUUAAGUUGUUUAUAACGAUUUGAUUUCUGUAAACUAGUAAGUUUUUCCGUAACUUGAUAAUUUCUAAACAUGGAUUGUGUAGGUGUAUUGUUCUUGAAACUUGAAAGUUUCUUUUCCUAUUUAUAGAAAAACAAGGAUCGAACACUCUGUCAGUUGGUCAAGAUUCACCUACUGAACCCUUAAGUUCCUAGUUUUGUUUUUAUGAUACAAAUUAUACCCACUACAAAGUAUUGUUUGCCAACUCUUCCUGCAUCCCCAAUCAUAUCAUCUAUAAGCACAACAUUUUUAUUCAUAUGUUGAAAGAAGGACAUGGCAUACAAUAUCCCUAGACAAUAUAGUUGUUAUUUAUGCUUUAAAGUGAUUUCAUCUUACACUUUUCUUCAGGAACAAGAAUAUUAAAGCGGUGGAGUGAAGAAGGUAAGUAGGUGAAGGUGCCCUAUCUGUGAUGGGCCCAUGCCCAAUGGAUUUAUCCAACAGUAAUCUGUAUAGUAGGAGUGGGAUUCUGACUGCAGCUAGCACAAUCAUUAGCACUUUUCUUUUAGUGUUUGUAGAUGAAUAGGGUGAUAAAUCAUUUUUCUCUACAAUUGGUAAGUAAUUGGUCUUAAAGAAUUAAAAAUUUUGUUUGAAAUUACUACUUAAAAACUACAAAAAUAUAACCAUUCUUUGUUAUUCUUAAGCUAAAUUAAGAUUUAAGACGUUGUGUUUGUUCAGCUUGUACUGCAGCCUUGUCACCCCUUGGUGUCAUUGGUGUGGCCUAGCUGGUCAUGGACUUGCAACUCUGGUAAUUUAUUAAUUUAUAUCAUAUUUUAUUUUAUUUUUUGUGGUUUAUUAAACUGAAGAAUAUUAAUUAUUUGUGGUAUAUAAUGAAACCAAUUCUUGCAGUUAGCUGUUCUUGGAGGGUUCUUUUCCUUGUGUUGCAGCAAUGACAUUGGUUGAAAUUGUGAGUUAGAAUCUGUUUCUUUCUUUCCUCCAAUUCAGUUAUUGAACUUUUUCAUAAUAUUUUAAUUUUGUAAGGUGAUUGCUUCAUAUGAUUAUUAGCAGAUUUUUAGGGAUUUAGAUUCUACUUUUUUUUUUGGGUAGUUGCUAUUUAGAGGUUGAUGUUUCUUCUAACUUUCCUACAUACUGACAUACAUAUAUCCGUAUCUGAUUAUUUUGACCCAAAAUAAAUACAUUUUUGUCCCCCAAGUUUAGCUGAUUUUUUUCCAAGAACUUCUCGCAUGUCUAGUUAGACAAUUUGGGAAAUUUCAGAUCACAUUGGUGUAAAAUAGGUAAUCAACUUAAAAAUUUCUUAACAAAGCCAUUACCUUAAACAAUAACCACUAUUGUUGUUGCCGAUAUUGUUUCCUUCAUGUUGUUUUAAUGGAAUUCCUACCUCCAAGGUUGCUAUUAACAGAAGUUGAACUCCAUUAUAAAUUAUUCCAUGAGUUACUAUAUAUGUAUUAAAUUUUAAUACUUUAUAACAUAGAUUGAUGAUGCUUGAAGCCUUUCUGAAUACUAAUGUGUUGAUGAUGAAAACAGGUAUCAUGUGGAAACAAAAGCAUAACAAUACGAAGUAGAAACAAGAAGGUGUUCCUUAAUAGCAAUGUAAUUACUAUAUAGUCAUUCAAUGUAAUUACUUUUGCUCACUUGAUGUUAUCCAAUCAUGGUUUAUAUUUGUUUUAUCUUUCCAUGGAACGAUUAUUUCUAAGACAUUAAAGUUAUGUAAUGGACUCUAUUUUUUGUAUAUGAUAUUUUAUUUUCUAUUAUGAAACAUUAAAUACAAAUUUAAUUUGAAAAUAAGUAAAUCUAUAAAUUAUAUUUUUUUAAACAUUUAAAAUUAUGAUACGCAAAAAUGUGUGUCAUCUUCAUUUAUGAAAUGACCUUUCUUGACAGGGGCUUUCGUGAUACGCAUUGCGUGUCAUUAACACGCACGUCGUAAAGUUAUGACACACGAAUGCGUGUCGUCUUCCUUUAUGAUAGGGCCUUCUUUGAUACGCAUUGCGUGUCAUAAACGCACAUCGUAAAUGCGCGUCGUCUCUCUUUAUGACAUGGCCUUCCUUGACGCGCAUUUGCGCGUCGUCUGAGCCUUUUACGACACGCAAUGAACGUCGUAAAAGGCUGUUUUUCUAGUAGUAUAUUCAUGCUCUAGGAGCCCAGAUCUACGAAUGACAUGGACUGGAUUCAAGAAAAAUCACGUUUAUGGCUCUUGCAUGAAACAGACUCGGCGAGUCGCUCAUCUGACUCGGCGAGUCUAGUCGCAAGUCUCCGAGAUUGUCCCCUUUUUCCUGUGUCGAGUUGUGUAGUGAGUCCAGGGCGGACUCGUUGAGUUGGAAGCCAAAACUCACCCAUGAUAGAGCUCGGCGAGUCGAUGCCCAGACUCGGCGAGUUCAAGGCAAUCUCCUUAGAUCAAGAUCAGAUUCGGCGAGUUGUUCAUACAACUCGACGAGUCACAGUAUAACUUGUUCAUCAGAUGAAGAUGAACUCGGCGAGUUGUUCAUACAACUCGGCGAGUAGGAUGAAGGACUUGAACAUCAGUUUGGAAGGAGAAUUCGUCGAGUCAACGCCUAACUCGACGAGUAGCAACAGAAUCCAGGACAGUUGUUUGGACAUGGACUCGGCGAGNNNNNNNNNNNNNNNNNNNNNNNNNNNNNNNNNNNNNNNNNNNNNNNNNNNNNNNNNNNNNNNNNNNNNNNNNNNNNNNNNNNNNNNNNNNNNNNNNNNNNNNNNNNNNNNNNNNNNNNNNNNNNNNNNNNNNNNNNNNNNNNNNNNNNNNNNNNNNNNNNNNNNNNNNNNNNNNNNNNNNNNNNNCUCCGAGGUGAGUUACCUUCCAGUAGCGGUGGGUCUAAGGCCACAAUGUCGGCCCUCCAAUAGGAGGCGUAUGAUAGAUGAUUGUCUUUGUGAUAUCAUCUAGGUUUGCUACUACCUGAUAUGUUAUAUCCUAGCAUGAUAUGUUAUAUGUGAUAGUCGUAGAAUUCGGUUGUUAGGAUCGAAGGGUAGUCAGACACCCCAGAUACGUCUGACAGUAUAUUAUGAUAUGUUUGCAAGCUGGCUUGUUUUGUUAUAUGCGCUAGAGGUAGUAGCAGGGGACCAGUCCCCAAGUUCGGUUGUUAGGACCGAAGGGUAGUCAGACACCCCAGAUAUGUCUGAUAUUAUGUUUGUGUUAUGAUAUAUGUGAUGGUAGUAGUAGGGGUGAAAUAGUCCCCGAGGUUCGGUUGUUAGGACCGAAGGGUAGUCGGCACCCCAAAAUAGCUCGCAUGGGUAGGUCAGCACCCCAGAAUGGCUUGACACGGGUAAUCGGCACCCCAGAAUGGCCGUACCGAGUAGUCAGGCACCCCAGAAUAGUCUGGCAGUAUGUAUGUUAUGUAUUGUAUGGUAUGUGGUACGAUGGGGGAACUCACUAAGCUUUGUGCUUACAGUUACAGUUUUGGUUCUAGGUACCUCUUCAUCAAAGGGGAAGGAGCUGGCAUGGUAGCGGCACAUCAUGCACACACACUGGUUUCCGCAUUUAUUAGAUUUCUCUGGGAUUUAUACUCUGAUAUUUCGAUUGGUUGUAUGAAUUGGCUUUUAGACAUGGUUUAUGUUGUGAUGUGGUUUGAUCAAACAAUGUUUUCAUUUAUUAACGUUUUCUAAAGUAAUGUUUUAAAAACGAAAUUUUUGGACGUGAAAAUUGAGUCAUUACAAGUGGGUAUCAGAGCCCUGGUUUGAGGGAUUCGGACACACCUUCGGGGGUGUUUGAACUCAAAUCGAGGGGAUUAAAAGAUUUUGGAAAGAGAAAAUGUUUUCUAAAAGGCUAAGUAAAAGGGGUUUUAAGAAAGAGCGAAGUGUGUGAUAUGCACGACCGGCCGAGCUCAAGUAAGUAUUCCCCAAUGUACCCAUACAAGUUUAUUUAUGUUUAUCAGUUUCUAUAGAACAACAUGCUAGAAUAUGACUAAGGAUCUAGGAGUGAUGCCUUAUGUGCCUGCUUUAUGUGCUUCAAUAUAUGAAAGAGUUGCAUGCUAGAGUUGAGUAGACAGCAGUAGGGUAGCCUGUUUAGGUUAUUCCUGAUAGUACGAGUUUAGCAUUGUAUGCUAGUUCAGUUCUCUCUUCGAGGAUAAAGUUGCUUGAGAUUGUUUUCUUACGUCCAAAUGCUGUUUGUUUUGUGCUAUGUGGGACUUGAAGUGAUGGGAGUUAACUGUUAGGUGAAUACGUUAAAGUCACAUGUGAUCAGGGUUGAAUAAUCUCAGAGUGUUGGAUUUGACUCUAUUGCGUAGCUCUUGUUUGAGUCCUAACCGUUUUAGAGAUGAGUCCCUUACUCGAAGGAUUAUCCGAGCCUCGUCACAUGUGAUUGUAUUCAGGUAAUAGUUAGUUGGCAUCACCAAGAGGCCUUCAACAGCUGAGGAUUGGUUUGGGUGGAGUCGGAGGUUUCCUAGGGUAAGCCUAGGAUAAAGAGUAGCAGUGAUCAGCGGUAGUGGAAGGGACCUUAUUGAGUCAAGGCGGACUUUGGGGAAGGUACAGAUAAAUGUGGAAGGUAGUAUGGGCCCAUACUACUGAAAGCAUAGGAUCCGUACCCGAACCGAGGAAGGCUAAGAUAAGGCCAGGGAACUUGUAGUGAGUGGGAUCCCUCCAGGGGUAUCAGUAUCCCUAACAGUUGUUAUUUCUUGUAUUUCAGAAUGGUGGUACUACGCUCGAGGCCAACAGUUGGCAGUUCAGGAGAGGGGUCGGGUUCGGGAUCAGGUUCCGAGCCAGUAGAUGAGAGGUUACGUGAGUUCAUCAUGUCUGAGAUUACCAGAGGCAUCCUUGAGUCAACCCCAUUAUCUUCGGGUCGAUCAAGGAAAGGAUCAUCGAGUUGAUGGAGGAUCGCCUCAGGUCGUUCAGGAGCGACAUGGCAUCUGGCCAGUCGGGAUCUCACACGCUGUCCUUUAAGGACUUCAAGGGCAGUGGUGCGCCGGACUUCCACGGGGUGAAGGACCCCAUUGUUGCUAGGCGAUGGAUUGCAGACAUCGAGUCUGUGCAGUUGACUAGCUUCUGCCCCGAGGGGUCGAAGGUGAGGUAUGCAGCAGGGUGUUUACGAGGCCGAGCUUGAGAUUGGUGGGAGUUAGUGGGUGACUCUCUAGGAGCCUCAACUAUCGAGGCUAUGACCUGGUCGGACUUUGUGACCAGGUUUAGGGCAGAGUUUGCGCUGGCUGUCGAGCUUCAGCAGCUGGCCAGGGAGUUUUUGGACAUGAGACAGACGACAGAGACCGUAGCGGAGAUCACCGCCAUGUUCCGGGAGAGGGCGCUGUUGGUGCCCCAGUAUGCGGGCAAUGAGGACAUGAGGAGGACCCGCUACCAUGACAUGCUUCAGGCUGAUAUCCGGGAGCACGUUAGUUUUUCAGCCUACCCCACCCUGGACUCUAUGAUUUCCAGGGCGAGGGAGAGGGAGAUAGAUUUGGAGCACAUCUAGAAACGAAAAUCGGAGGAGGGACAGACAGGAGGGGCUUCGAGGAAGAAGCCCAAGGGAUCAAAUGGUAGGCCGAAAGGCCAGUCCGGACCGAGCCGCUGCAGGAAAUACGGCAGGCCGCACGAGGGGGCGUGCAGGAUAGGAUCAUCAGGCUGCUACAAGUGCGGCAAGACUAGGCACNNNNNNNNNNNNNNNNNNNNNNNNNNNNNNNNNNNNNNNNNNNNNNNNNNNNNNNNNNNNNNNNNNNNNNNNNNNNNNNNNNNNNNNNNNNNNNNNNNNNNNNNNNNNNNNNNNNNNNNNNNNNNNNNNNNNNNNNNNNNNNNNNNNNNNNNNNNNNNNNNNNNNNNNNNNGGCAGAGGCUCCAUUGGUGAGGAGCCGGGCGUUUCAGCUGACCACCGAGGAGGCACGCGCAGCACCCGAUGUGGUGACGGGUAUGAUUCUUACCCUCUCAUUUAUUUAUAUGAUGUUAUGAUAUUGAUAUAUGCUCGGUAUAUGUAUAUGUGUUAGGAUCGUUCCAUGUGAACGGUAUCCCAGUUCAGGUGUUAUUCGACUCGAGUGCAGCUCGAUCAUUUGUGUCCCUUGCUCUUAGCAAGAAGUUUCCUGAGUCUUUGGGCAUGUUGGAUUGCUCUUUAGAGGUAGAGAUUGCCGACGAUCGAUCAGUGCGAGCAUCAGCAGUGUUCAGGGAUUGUAUUUUGAGGUUAUUUGAGGAGCGUUUUCUGGUGGACUUGGUUCCCAUUCCGUUGUGUGGGAACAAGGUGAUUAUAGGCAUGGAUUGGUUGAGCCCCAAUGGGGCGGUGAUAGAUUUUGCGCAGCAGCUAGUGCGAGUCAGGACCCCAAGUGGGGGAGAGUUAGUGAUUCAGGGCGAGAGGCCAUAGUGUGGACCCACAGUAUGUUCAGCAGCGAGGGCUAGACGAUACCUUCAGCAGGGAUGCGCAAGUUAUGUUGCGUAUGUGAUGGAUACCCGAGAGGCGGGUAAGGCAACAGUGAGCGAGGUUCUAGUGGUGCGAGAUUUCACAGAUGUGUUCCCGGAGGAGCUUCCUGGGAUACCUCCGGAGCGACAGGUGGAGUUCAGGAUUAACCUCGUUCCUGGUGCGGCUCCGAUAGCCAAGGCACCAUAUCGGUUGGCUCCUCUUGAGAUGCAGGAGUUGUCUACCCAGCUGCAGGAGCUGCUAGACAAGAGAUUCAUUAGACCGAGCAGUUCACCCUGGGGAGCCCCGAUUCUAUUUGUGAAGAAGAAGGACGGGUCGCACCGGAUGUGUAUAGAUUAUUGGGAGUUGAGCAAGGUAACGGUGAAGAACCGUUAUCCACUCCCGAGGAUUGAUGAUCUCUUUGACCAGCUUCAGGGAGCAUCUUGGUUCUCCAAGAUUGAUUUGCGUUCGGGUUAUCAUCAGAUGAGGGUCAGGGAGAUACGCAGAAGACCGCGUUUCGGACGCGCUAUGGCCACUAUGAGUUCGUGGUGAUGCCGUUUGGGCUCACCAAUGCUCCUACCGCGUCCAUGGACCUCAUGAACCGCGUAUGCAGAUCGAUGCUGGAUCGGUCUGUGAUAGUCUUUAUCGACGACAUCUUGGUUUAUUCCAAGACGUAGGAAGAACAUGAGGAGCAUCUGAGAGAGGUAUUGGAAACCUUGAGGAGAGAGAGCUUGUAUGCCAAGUUCUCCAAGUGUGAGUUUUGGUUGCGCGAGGUGCAGUUUCUCAGACACCUUGUCAACCAGAACGGGAUUCUGAUCGAUCCGGCCAAGGUCGAGGCUGUGAUGAGAUGGGAGGUUCUGAAGUCUCCAUCUGAGACUCGGAGUUUCCUAGGAUUGGCAGGCUAUUAUCGGAGGUUCAUUCAGGAUUUCUCCAAGAUAGUUGUGCCCCUGACACGGUUGAAGAAGAAAGCCGUGGUCUUUCGGUGGGGACCCGAGCAGUAGGCAGCGUUUGAGACACUGAGGCAGAGAUUGUGCGAGGCGCCGAUCUUAGCCCUACCAGAGGUUGAAGAGGAUUUUGUGGUUUAUUGUGACGCGUCUAUUUCUGGGUUGGGCGUGGUAUUGAUGCAGAGGGGGCAUGUCAUUGCCUACGCUUCGAGGAAGCUCAAGCCUCACGAGGCGAACUACCCGACGCAUGAUUUGGAGUUGGGGGCAGUGGUUUUCGCCCUCAAGAUUUGACGGCAUUACCUCUACGGGGUUCGGUGUACCAUUUACACAGACCACAAGAGUUUGAGGUACCUCAUGGAUCAGCUGAAUUUGAACAUGAGGCAGCGUCGGUGGUUGGACGUGGUGAAGGAUUAUGAUUGUGAGAUCCUUUACCACCCGGGAAAGGCCAAUGUGGUUGCCGAUACACUUAGCCGCAAGGCGACGCCGAUCAGGGAUAUUUGCAUGAGGAUGACUGUAGUGACUCCCUUGUUGGAGCAGAUUCAGGAGGCUCAACAGGAGGCUAUCAAGGAGGAGCAUCGAAAGAGUGAGCGUGUGGUGGGUUAGGUUUCCUCNUGAUAGCCGAGGACUAUUGACACUACACCGUAGGGUGUGGGUGCCGUAUUACGGAGGCGUGCGCCAGAUCUUGAUGGAGGAGACACACAAGUCUCGAUUCUCUAUUCAUCCUGGGGCGAAGAAGAUGUAUAGGGAUCUUCGACUAGAUUAUUGGUGGCCCUGCAUGAAGCGGGAUGUGGCAUGGUACGUCGAUCGGUGCUUGACCUGCAAGAAGGUCAAGGCCAAACAUCAGAGACCGCAUGGGAAGACGCAACCGUUGGACAUCCCGUUGUGGAAAUGGGAAGACAUCACGAUGGAUUUUAUCACAAAGCUUCCCAGGACUGCGCACGGUGUAGAUUCGAUUUGGGUCAUCGUGGAUCGAUUGACCAAGAGCGCCCAUUUUAUUCCGAUCCAGGAGAGCAUCUCGGCCGAAAAGUUGGCCGAUAUCUACAUUAGGGAGAUACUAGCGCGACACGGGGUUCCGGUGUUAGUGAUAUCAGACCGAGAUGUGCGAUUCACUUCCAGAUUUUGGAAGAAGUUUCAUGAUGAGUUGGGCACUCGUUUUCAUUUUAGCACUGCUUUUCACCCACAGACGGAUGGUCAAAGUGAGCGGACCAUCCAGACUUUAGAGGAUAUGUUCCGGGCAUGUGUGUUGGAUUUCGGUGGUAGCUGGGAUACCUAUCUUCCCUUGGCCGAGUUCUCAUACAAUAACAGCUACCAUGCGAGUAUAGACCGUCCCACAUUCGAGAUGUUAUAUGGACGGAGGUGCAGGACCCCGAAACGUUGGGGUGAAGUUGGCCAGAGGGUCAUGGGGAGCACCGAAGUGGUGCUCAAGACGACCGAGAGGAUCCAGCAGGUUCGGAGCAGGCUUCAGACUGCUCAGAGUUGACAGAAAAGUUACGCCGACAAGCGUCGAUCCGAAUUGGAGUUCCAAGUCGGGGACAUGGUUCUCCUGAAGGUGUCGCCUUGGAAGGGCGUCAUUCGAUUCAGGAAGCGGGGCAAGUUGGGACCAAGAUUUAUCGGACAGUUCAGGGUUGUAGCCCGGGUGGGCAAGGUGGCAUAUAGAUUGGAUCUGCCAGUCGAGCUCAGCCAGAUCCACAACACUUUCCAUGUCUCUUAGCUACGGAAGUGCUUAGUGGAUGAUUCAGUAGUGGUGCUGUUGGAGGAUAUUCAAGUUGACGACAGCCUGAAUUACAUUGAGCGCCCAGUCGCAAUCCUCGACAGGAAGUCGAAGGAUUUGAGGAACAAGAGGGUGGAACUAGUGAAGGUGCAAUGGCAGCACCGCAAGGUUUCAGAGUGGACUUGGAAGCCGGUGGAAGAAAUGAUGGAGCAUUACCCCGAGCUGUUCCAGGAUUGAGCAGCAGACUUCGAGGACGAAGUCUAAAAUAAGUGGGGGAGAUUUGUAGCACCUGGUUCCUGGUACGUAAAUCUUAUUUGAGUAUUCUCCAUUUUAAGCCUUGGACUCGGCGAGUCAUAGGUCCGACUCGCCGAGUAGGGACGAGACCCGAGACACGUUUAAGUUGGCGACUCGGCGAGUCCAUAUCUUGGACUCGGCGAGUGACCGCUGUUGGAUGAAACCCUAAGUUUCAGGGGUUUGCACCCAAUUUAAUCCCUCUUUCCGCCCCAAGCCAACCCCCAUUCACCCCCCAGAAGCUCUCCAUACGUUCUAGCUCUUGUUCUUGUGAGUUUGAGGCAUCUUUGUGUGUAUUCUAGAAGAUUUUGAGAAGGAAGUGGAGUAGAUCAAGAGGAAGGUAAGGAAGCCAAGCAUCUUAGUGUUCUCUCAAUGAUUUCCUUGAGGUAAAACUCAUUUUCCCCUGUCUCUAUGCUUAUAACUCCAUUAAAGUCUUCCUUGAGCCCUUCUUCAAGCUUGUAUGUGCAUCAUAUUUCAAAAUAAGUUGAUUGGCCACUAGAUCCAAGCAUGGUUGAGCUUUAGGAGCUCAGAUCUACUACCUUUAUGGACCCAUAUUGCAUGAAAACUUAGAUAUACUCUUUUGGUGCAUUUUGAACCCUAAAACCCCCAUAGAUGGAUAUUUACACGUAAAGUUGGAAACUUUAUGUGUUAUUCAUGCUCUAGGAGCCCAGAUCUACGAAUGGCAUGGACUGGAUUCGAGCAAAAUCGCGUUUAUGGCUCUUGCAUGAAACAUACUCGGCGAGUCACUCAUCUGACUCGGCGAGUCUCCGAGAUUGUCCACUUUUUGCUGUGUCGAGUUGUGUAGUGAGUCCAGGGCGGACUUGGUGAGUUGGAAGCCAAAACUCACCCAUGAUAGAACUUGGCGAGUCAAUGCCCAGACUCGGCUAGUUCAAGGCAAUCUCCUUAGAUCAAGAUCAGACUCGGCGAUUUGUUCAUACAACUCGACGAGUCACAGUAUAACUUGUUCAUCGGAUGAAGAUGAACUCGACGAGUUGUUGUACAACUUGGCGAGUAGGAUGAAGGACUUGAACAUCAGUUUUGAAGGAGAACUCGUCGAGUCAAUGCCUAACUCGACGAGUAGCAACAGAAUCCAGGACAGUUGUUUGGACAUGGACUCCGUGAGUUGGCGAGCCAACUCUGUGAGUCAGUUCAACUGGAAGUUGACUCUGACUUUGACUUAGAUCAUGAUCAAGGGUAAAAUGGUCAUUUUACCCAAAGGACAGUUAGCAGUAUUUGAUUGAGUAAGUUGUGGGAAUUAUAGCCGGAGGAUUUCCGGAGCACCAUCAGCAGCAAUAGACAGUCAGUUCCCGAUCAGAUCAGCAGCUACUCCGAGGUGAGCUACCUUCCAGUAGCGGUGAGUCUAAGGCCACAAUGCCGACCCACUAAUAGGAGACGUAUGAUAGAUGAUUGUCUUUGUGAUAUCAUCUAGGUUUGCUACUACCUGAUAUGUUAUAUGCUAGCAUGAUAUGUUAUAUGUGAUUGUAGUAGAGUUCGGUUGUUAGGACCGAAGGGUAGUCAGACACCCCAGAUAUGUCUGAUAUUAUGUUUGUGUUAUGAUAUAUGUGAUGGUAGUAGUAGGGGUGAAAUAGUCCCCGAGGUUCGGUUGUUAGGACCGAAGGGUAGUCGGCACCCCAGAAUAGCUCGACAUGGGUAGGUCAGCCCCCCAGAAUGGCUUGACACGGGUAGUCGGCACCCCAGAAUGGCCGUACCGGGUAGUCAGGCACCCCAGAAUAGCCUGGCAGUAUGUAUGUUAUGUAUUGUAUGGUAUGUGGUACGAUGGGGGAACUCACUAAGCUUUGUGCUUACAGUUUACAGUUUUGGUUUCAGGUACCUCUUCAUCAAAGGGGAAGGAGCUGGCACGGUAGUGGCACAUCAUGCACACACACUGGUUUCCGCAUUUAUUAGAUUUCUCUGGUAUUUAUACUCUGAUAUUUCGAUUGGUUGUAUGAAUUGGCUUUUAGACAUGGUUUAUGUUGUGAUGUGGUUUGAUCAAACAAUGUUUUCAUUUAUUAACGUUUUCUAAAGUAAUGUUUUAAAAACGAAAUUUUUGGACGUGAAAAUUUGGUCAUUACAAAGUCACCAUACAAGAAAAUCACAAAACAAUUUAACACAUACGAAUGUGUCCAAAUAAUCAUAAACAAUUUCCUUAGACUCUACUAGGACUUCUUCAUUGCUUAAUCUUCAAUCAUCAACUCUACUUCAACUCAAUUGGUGAUGGAAAUACCAGACAAUAAAACAACUUCAAGAAUUUCAUCAAUCGUUCCAUCAUCUUGCCAAUCGAAAGUGUACUUCAGAUAUACCAUACUCCUCUAAACGUACUGUUAUUUUAUAAGACAUACUCUAAAGGCAAGAUACCACUCUUACGAUAUCUUCUGAUAGGUUUCAUCCACUAUCAUAAGCCUUCUUCAUUUCCUCCAUUUACUCAAUUUAUCUACGAGUCUUCACCAUGACCUCUUGUACAUCCAAGCAGACAUUUGGUGUACCAAGAAAGAAUUUUUUUUAAGAUAAGAAAGUUUUUAAUUACGAUAAACGUAUAAAUCUCCUUAUCACCCUGAAACGUUUACAUGCUAGUUCUAAUUUCGUAGUCGUACGUUUAGAAUCCUAAACACAUAAGGUUUCCAGAUCCGAUCGGCAACAGACCAUAGGUCCGAAUAAAUAAUAGCAUCAAUAUAGCUAUCACACAAAACAUUUUGCACAUAAAAGCAUUUUAGGCAUCAUUCCUAAAAUAAACUAGUGCUUGUGUCAAUUUAGGUGUACUACCUAACAUAUUUUAGACACACUCCUCACAAUCAUUACUUAGCAUUCUAAGUUUAAGUCUAGAAAUUUCCUACAAAUUCCUAGUUCGCUUAAACUAAUGCUCUGAUACCAACUGUGACAUCCCCAAUUUCACGGCCAGAAAAGACCGAUUUGUUUAUGCUUUGUUUUNCAUUCAUUUACUCUAGUGAUUUACAUCUCCUUUCAUCUCUCAGUGCAAAGCAGCUUCGUAUCGAUACCUGUGAUACAAUUAAACUGAGCGGGUCAGGCUUGGGAGCCUGGUGAGCAUAUAGGGUUUUCAUCCCACAAUGUUAUAUCAUAUAAAUAUAUAUUGAACAUCCAAAAUUAUAUAAUUUCACCAUAUAAAAGCAACUCUUACCCCACCCCAUCGAUCCUCACAACGCCACGAUCUAAACUCUCGUAUCUAAACUUUUCCUCUUUAUCUAAUCCCUACUCACGGAUCUAAACUAAUCUCUCCACCCGAUCCAUACUCUCGGACCUAAAACUAACCUCUUGGUCUAAUCCAUACUCACGGAUCUAAACUAAUCUCUUGGUCUGAUCCAUACUCCCGGACUAGGGACAAUUAACUAUUUCUUAAUCCAUACUCCCGGAUUAAUAACAAGUUUACCUAUUGGUCUGAUCCAUACUCUCGAAUCUAAAACUGUGCCCAAUCCAUACUCCCGGACUAGGGACAAUUUACUAUACCUAAAUCCUAUUCUGGUCCAUACUCCCGGCUCUAAACUGUGCCCAAUCCAUACUCCCGGACUAGGUACAAUUUAGUAUGUCUUAAUCCAUACUCCCGGAUAAAUAACAAGUUUAUCUCUUUUCCUAUUUCAUAUUCUCGGAUCUAAAUCCAAUCUCUUGAUCUAAUCCAUACUCACGGAUCUAAAACUAACCUCUUGAUCUAAUCUAUACUCACGGAUCUCAUCUACCCAUGUCCUACCCAACAUAUUCGUAGAUACAAAAUAUGUAUACAGUUUAACUCAUUAAAGCCUAUAUAGUUCAUCCAUUCCAUACUCAUCUCAAAUAAACAAACAAUAUAUAAACACAUAGCACAUAUUUCAUAACAAAUACUUAAUAUUUAUGUGUUAGAAGAAAGUGAGAACACACUCACACAUAUAAACAUCUUUAUAUUAUACAAAUAGCAUGUAUUUCAUAGCAAAUACUUAAUAUUUAUGUGUUAGAAGAAAGUGACCACACACUCACUUGAUCAGAAGAUGAUCGGACAGCACUACGGCUUGUAGAAAUAGUAUUCUUCGGUGAAAUCGGGAUCACUUCACACACCGGGUUUCUCGCGGGCAGAGCUUCGGCUCGAAAAACUCUUUUCUUCUCGGGAUCUUCGGGCUUCGGUACUUGUUUUGGGUCUCGGGGUUGAUACCGGGGCUUCUGGGGGGGGUUAAAAUAGGGCUUAGAGGGUGUAUCGGGAGUGGGAGUGAAGGGAUGGAGCAACCAUAGUCGGUUGGCCCUUCAAAUCUAUUUAUAGGGCAAAUUUGGCCCUUGCCACGUCGUGACACCCUUUUUCCACGUCGUGGGCUUGGUCGUUAUUGAAUGCGUCAUCACAAGUUGCAUCUGGGGGACUCUCGAAGGUGUCAGGAGACUUUCCACGUCGUGGCACUGCUUGCCAUAUCGUGGUCUCUGACAGUUUUGGGGUUUCACGCCCUGAACUUCAGAAAUUCAUAACGUUCGCAUACGAACUCCGUUUUCGACGUUCUUUAUAUCGACGCGAAGGUGAUAUUAUGCUCUACAACUCUCGUUUAGACUCCAUUGGCUAAUUUUGACUUUAUUUUCAUAUAUUAUAAUUAUAUUACUUAUAUAAUAUCUUUAGUAGGCCGGGACAGGAAAACUCCGUUCGAAAUUCAUAACUCCUUCAUCUGAACUCUGUUUUCGUCUGUCAUUUUAUCGUUGGACUACUAUCGAAGAAAUAUUCGACUCUCGUUUAGAUCACUAAGGAUAGAUAUCUAUCUACCUUAAAUUCACUAUUUACGUCGCACUGGGUCGCGCUGGGUCAUGCCGGUUCUGUCGUGAAACUUCAACAGGUCAUAACUUCUUCGUUAUAACUCGGAUUUUGGCGUUCUUUAUAUGCACGGAAACCUUGUGACAUAUACUACAACUUGGUUAAGAUUAAUCCUUCUAAAUAAUCUUCCAUCAAAAAGUCAUUUUUGAUGCUUAUCGUCUCUAAAUUGACUAGCCCGGAUCUAUGGGCGUUACAAUAUAGCAUAGCAACAUCCUAAUCAGAAUAUCAGACCUCACCAGGUCACUAACAUAUGAUCGUCCUAACUACCAGGAUGAAAAUCUCACUGAUCAAAAGCAUAUCAAACAAAUACCAGUACACAAUCCAAGAAAGGGUCGACCUUGGUGCCUUAGACCUUGUUGAUAUAGUGAGGAUAACUCACCUUGCAAUGUCAGGCUGAACCACGAAAUCACGCUCCCGAAACACUACCCCGAACUCCAACACCUAUAACCAUCAAUGAUCCAAUUCAUAAAUACCCGCUUUCCAAUUAUCCUCAAAAGUCAAAACGGUCAACCCUUGGUCAAAGUCAAAGUCA